CGCUAAUUCUUUUAAAAAUGGUAAAAGAAAAAAACUAAUUUUACAAGCACCAGGCGGUAACCUUCGUCAUCUCCCGGGAAAAUAAUAAACAACGAACUUGGAAAAAGUAUAACCAUCGGACGGUCCAGAUUCAUUACGACACUUUAGACUUUUGCUAUAUAGUGGGGUGGGGUUGCAUCUAUUAGCCGCGUCUUCGUUACGGGGAAUAUUGUCAACAUUGUAGAGGUCUAGGGUUUUGCUUCCAUCCCCCGCCGUCUCUUUUCGCUAUCCUCUUUCCCUCAUUUUUUUUUUUUUUGUUCUUCCUUCUCCGCCGUUUCAAUACGUUUAAUAAAAGAUCUUAUAUUUGAUGCGAUGAAGAAAGUGUUGUGGAAUAAAAUGAUCGAUUGCCUUUGCAAGAUGAAUAUACAAUUCGGACCUAUGGAGGAAGCGCGAUGCAAAAACGGUGCGCUUUUAUCCAAGUUUGCCUUCGAAAAAUAAGUACCGAAAGCAGAUCACGGAAUCUAUAUAUUUUCUUAUGGGUAUGGAUUUCGGUUUUGUUUUGUGAUCUAAUUUUCGAACACUUAAUUUCCAUUGAAAAUUAUUUUUCAUAUGUGAACUACUUCUGAAGUAAAGCGAAGGUCCCAGCGGAGAGGUAAUGGACUCUGACAUUGAGACCUCUCCAACACUAACUUAUGUAUCCUUCGCACAAUCACUCGCCGAAUCGUAAGAUGCCCAGAAUUUUCUCACAUUUUUGGAGCAUCUGGAACCCUCGGCUAUAUAAUAUAUUUAAAGUUUCCGA